AACGAACGCUGGCGGCAUGCCUAACACAUGCAAGUCGAACGAGAUCUUCGGGUCUAGUGGCGCACGGGUGCGUAACGCGUGGGAAUCUGCCCUUUGGUUCGGAAUAACAGUUGGAAACGACUGCUAAUACCGGAUGAUGACGAAAGUCCAAAGAUUUAUCGCCAGAGGAUGAGCCUGCGUAGGAUUAGCUAGUUGGUGUGGUAAAGGCGCACCAAGGCGACGCUCCUUAGCUGGUCUGAGAGGAUGAUCAGCCACACUGGGACUGAGACACGGCCCAGACUCCUACGGGAGGCAGCAGUGGGGAAUAUUGGACAAUGGGCGAAAGCCUGAUCCAGCAAUGCCGCGUGAGUGAUGAAGGCCUUAGGGUUGUAAAGCUCUUUUACCCGGGAUGAUAAUGACAGUACCGGGAGAAUAAGCUCCGGCUAACUCCGUGCCAGCCGCCGCGGUAA
rnacentral:rRNA from 1 species